rnacentral:lncRNA from 1 species
AGAUAGCUGGGGGCAAGAUGGUGUAGGACCUUGUGGGUCUUGGUGAGGGCUUUGGAUUUUGUUCUUUAUGUAGUUGGAGGACAAUAUACUUUCUAUUGAUGCCCAAUGCUCUGCUACUUCUUCUAGUCCUUUCUCUGUUCUGGCUCUAUCUGCCUCCCACCCAGCCAGGGGGGGAGGAUCACAGUAAAAAUGCUACCUUAUCCUCCUGAUGAUCUCUCUUGCCAGUCUCCAUCCUUGAACAACUUUCACCGUUCAUUUCUUUUCUCUGGUGGCAGAACAAAAGAUAGACUAUGAGCCCAAUGCCAUGUUCCACCACAAAUUCAUGGUCUCAAGCCUCCUUUGAGCCUGAGUACAUAGCCAAUUGUUUUCACUUUUUAUUAAUUUCCUAUUGCAUUCAUCACAACAGGCUCAGCCCUCUUCCCCUCUCAGCCCUCCCCUCAGUCACCACAUAUUAGCUGAUGGCCUCGCCUCCUGCUUUAACAAAAACUGAAUUCACUGAAGUUCCCUUAACUGAGCGUGUAGCGACCUUUGUCUGCCCUACAAACCCACUCCACCACCUGUUAACCGCGCUUUGUGAGUGACCCAAGCAGAACCCUGGGAAUCAUCCCUCAUCAUCUCUGAUCCCUUCCAUGCUUGUAUUCAACUAGAGCCUUCACGCUAUAGAUUCCACCGCCUAAAUAUAUCUCUCUUCCCCCUCUCUUCCAUCCCCACUUCUGCCUCAGAUCAGUCCCGCACCAUUUCUUGUCUAGACUAUUACACUAUUCCCUGACCCUAGCCCACUGAACACACACACACACACACACACACACACACACACACAAUUGCCAAUGAAUAUAACUGCUUGUAUCUCCUAAGUAUCUUCAGAAUAAAAUUAAACUUCCUUGAUAAGGAAUAGCAAGUUCUUUAUAAUCUGGUCUCUCUCUACCUCUCCGGGGAAAAGUUUCUCAACUUCUUUCCUCUUCUACUACCUCAUCUGCAAAAUGGGGAUAUUAACAGAGUAACCUCAUGGUAUUGUUAAGGAGUCAAUGUUUGUCUCUCCCCAAAAUUCCUAUAUUAAAACCCUAACCUUCAAAAUGAUGAUUUGGAGAUGGGCCCUUUGGGAGGUGGUUAAGGUUAUAUUAGGUCAUGUGAAGGUGGGACUCUAAUGCUGGAAUUACUCACUUUAUAAAAAAGAUAUCUCCCCUCUGUCCUCCCCGCCCCCCCAAUCAUGGGAACACACUGAGAAAAGACCAAGUGAGGAGGACACAGUGAGAAGCUGGCCAUCUGCAAGCCAGAAAGAGAACUCUCCCAGGAGCUGAGUCAGCUAGCAUCUUGAUCUUGAACUUCUCAGCCUCCAGAACUGUGAGAAAUAAAAGUCUGUUGUUUAAACCACCCAGUCUAUGGUUGGUAUUGUGGCAGUACAAACAGACUAAAGAUUAAUGGGAAACAACACAUGUAACUUCCUCUGAAAAAAGCUUGACCAUGGUAAGUGCACAGGAGAGUUACUAUGAUUAGCAUCGAUUUUCAACCUGUAAUCACCCCCUUCCCACCAUUUAAAAGUCCCAAAGACUACUGGAGUUUCUGACUAGUCUGCUGUCUUACUCUAUCAGAUUAUGCAUUCUGUCUGGAAACUAUCUGUGUUUUUAGGACUCAGCACCCUAGGGCCAGGCUAAAUAUCUGUGUCAGACAGAAACAAUGUAUUGUGUUCAUGCCCUGGUGUGAUCCUUUUCCUUCAGUAUGGGGAGAACCUGUGACUUGCUUAAAGAGAGAACGUGGUUAUUUUGUACUCAAUUAUGUUAUACACAGUUGUAGUUCCUAUCUUGCUGCAGUCUCUCUCUUCCUUGCUAACUUCGAAGAAGCAAGCUGCAAAGAUGGAGAGUGCAUCAUGGCAAGAAAUUAGGGGACAGCCUCCAGCAUCACCUGGCAAGAGCUGGGACCAGUUUUGCAGGAGUCUACAAAGAACCGUUUCCAAAAACCAUGCGGACUGGAAAGAGGAUUUUCUCACUGUCAAACUUCAGGGACAGACAAACUAAUCAAUGGAACAGAAUAUAGAACUCUUCAGGCAGACUCCCUAAUAUAUGGAAAUCUAAUGACAGAGAUGAUACCACAGAGCCAUGAGGAAGGACUGGAUCUUACAAUUAACAGUGCUGGGAGAGUCAUUCGUAUGGAUAAAAAAAGACCUUGAGUUUUAUAUCAUACCAUUAUACAAAAAUCAAUUCCAGGAGAUGACAUUAAGAUCAUUUGAGGAAAGUGGGACAAGAAAAGACUUGACGUGAUCUAUCUAAUAAGUAAUUUCAAAAUAAAGAAGUAGAUAGCCUUUUUAAAGUUUGAAGCAACGCAAAGCAGGAGAAGUCAGCAUAGGAUGAUAAAAAUCCAAAUGAAAAGUUUAAAGUUGGAUACAAGAGAUUAUGUAUUGUCUACCCUAAGUACUGUGAAAGAGAAUGACCUGAAUAGCAAGGGAAAUCUCUUCCACAUGUGAGGUACGGCAGUAAACAGAAGACACGUUAAGUCUGUCUUGGUGGGACAAAUGUGCUGGUGGGAAAGACAAGCAUCAAGCAAAUAAUCAUAAGGUACCGUACUAUUUAAGUCCAUAGACAGAAUGGAUAAAAGAUGACUUACUUUUGCUGGGAAGCAGAGGUGCCAAAGUCAAGUCUGAAGACAGCUCUACGUCUCCACCACAGCAUCCUGCCCACCCGUCCAGUCACUCCUGGGGAGCCCAGAGCGCCAUUCUUGACACUUGCCAGGUAAGGGAGUUCCCUGCUAACGCUGUACCACAUACAACACUUCCGUUUCGGUCCUACUUGUAUAAGUAUUCGUUUCAAGUGUUUACUUGAAGGGACCCUUCAUCGCUUUGUGAAAUGUUAAAAGGAAGAUGGAAUUGAACAUCUACCUUUUGCCAAGACAGCAUGGCCUUCUACCUGUGGGAAGAAUGUAAUGAUGAGGUAUGAUAAUGAGUGGUGACCCGACGCCAGGACUGCCUGUCCUCACACACUACAAACGGCACAGAACUAAUGGCCAAAUAGCUGCACACAAAUCUUGUCACCAGGUACACAGUUCAUUAAGUGAGACUUCUGGGGUAAGAUCACAAUCAGGGGCUGCCUGGCAAACAAACCUCAGCUCCGCCAAAAUAAAAUUAGAAAGAGUGGCCCACAUCCAGUGGAAAAGAGCCUCUGCACACCAACUGGAGGAGAGUCUAUCCCAGUUCUGUGCUUACGCUUCUGAGCUUAACUGGCCGUUGAUAAUGUAUUUAAAGGCCAAAGGGCAUGCGACUCAGUCUCCUCUUACACAAAAGACAACUUGAAUUUAGAUAACUCUUCAUCCUUUACAAAGUAUGAUGGCAUACCUGGUAUGCUUAGAAUUACUAUACUAGAAAUGUAGUACAAGAGUUCUCGUCAUGGCGCAGUGGUUAACAAAUCUGACUAGGAACUAUGAGGUUGCGGGUUCGAUCCCUAGCCUCACUCAGUGGGUUGGGGAUCCGGCGUUGCCAUGAGCUGUGGUGUAGGUUGCAGAUGUGGCUCGGAUCCCGCGUUGCUGUGGCUCUGGUGUAGGCUGGCAGCUACAGCUCGAUUAGACCCCUAGCCUGGGAACCUCCAUAUACCACAGGUGUGGCCCUCAAAAGACAAAAA